rnacentral:rRNA from 1 species
GACGAACGCUGGCGGCGUGCUUAACACAUGCAAGUCGAACGGAAAGGCCCUGCUUUUGUGGGGUGCUCGAGUGGCGAACGGGUGAGUAACACGUGAGUAACCUGCCCUUGACUUUGGGAUAACUUCAGGAAACUGGGGCUAAUACCGGAUAGGAGCUCCUGCUGCAUGGUGGGGGUUGGAAAGUUUCGGCGGUUGGGGAUGGACUCGCGGCUUAUCAGCUUGUUGGUGGGGUAGUGGCUUACCAAGGCUUUGACGGGUAGCCGGCCUGAGAGGGUGACCGGCCAAAUUGGGACUGAGGUACGGCCCAGACUCCUACGGGAGGCAGAAGUGGAGAAUAUUGCACAGUAGGCGGAAGCCUGAUGCAGCAACGCCGCGUGCGGGAUGACGGCCUUCGGGUUGUAAACCGCUUUCGCCUGUGACGAAGCGUGAGUGACGGUAAUGGGUAAAGAAGCACCGGCUAACUACGUG